GGCCUGAAGCUCAUGCUAGCAAACUUGCAACUAUGUAUGAAAUAUUCUGGGCCCUGGACAGACAUCGCUAUAGGCUAUUUGCGCCAGGGAUAAGAAGUAAAUCAGGUAAGCUGACCUGCUGGAACCCAAUUAAAAGGCCUCAGGCGCUGGGCUGGCUGGGGAGAGAGAAAGGAGGGAUGCUGAAAGAGGAGAACAACAUGACAAGAACGGCAAGCCGAUGAACUCUGAGGACUGUGGCUAGCUAUUGUUGAGAACCUGAGCCCUAGGACCAUACGUCACGGCAAACCAGGC